rnacentral:rRNA from 1 species
UACGGGGGGGGCAAGCGUUGUUCGGAAUUACUGGGCGUAAAGGGCUCGUAGGCGGCCAACUAAGUCCGACGUGAAAUCCCCAGGCUUAACCUGGGAACUGCGUCGGAUACUGGAUGGCUUGAAUUCGGGAGAGGGAUGCAGAAUUCCAGGUGUAGCGGUGGAAUGCGUAGAUAUCUGGAGGAACACCGGUGGCGAAGGCGGCAUCCUGGACCGAUAUUGACGCUGAGGAGCGAAAGCCAGGGGAGCAAACGGG